AAGGAUUCUCCUGGUCAGCCUCCUGAGUAGCUGGGAUUACAGUGUUUUCCCAGGAAGCUCUCUGAAUAUCCAGGGUCUUCAUGGAUGGACUUCCCAUAAAAGGAACAAAAUACGAAGGAACGGCAUACCCCCACGCUCAGGAGGGCUGCCUUGCAGCCUGGGUGACAGAGCGAGACUCUGUGAUGACAACAACAACAACAAAUGCUGCUGCCGAAGAGUGCUGGCUACCACUGGCAAGGGCUCCCAUACCACCAUGGAAAAAGGCUACAGAGGAGUAUGUUUCAUUGGACUCCAGUUUCAUCAAUAGGCCCUGAAAAUGGUGCAGCAGGCCACGCAUGAAGAUCUGGGUGGUGAGAUCACGGCUUGUUUCUCCUUUCUUCUUUGGUGUAUCUUUUCUAAUUUUCUACAGUAAAGAUGUAUUACUUUGGUAACCUAA